rnacentral:lncRNA from 1 species
CUUGAGGCAACCCUCUCCCUCUUGUCUCUCCCGUUCUUCCUCGUUCACAGUUCCAGAUGCUUUGGCAAAGACGUGCUGGGAUUGCUCCACCACCACCUCCACCACGCCGUCAUGCUGGUUGAGAUCCCCUCUACUUCUCCUUCCUCUCUUGAUGUAUCAAGAAGGAGGAGACAUCAUUGAGCCGCACGUGUGCUGAACGCGGACGUGCCAUCUGUUUGGUGCUAGAUCGGGAUGGAUCGGAUUGGAUCGUGAAGACGUACGACUACAUCAACCGCAUUAUAUACGCUUCUUCUUAGAUAUGUACAAGGGUAUGUAGAUGCACUCCCCCUCUCAUAGAUGUUGAAAUCCAUAGAUUGAUACUGGUGGGCGUAGGUAAAUUUUAUUUCCCAUGAGACGUUGCCCAACAACGCCUACCCGCAAUGCGUGUCAUGUUUCCUUGUCAUUUCCUAGUGCAGCGUUUGGACACCUCCAGAAGCUUCCACGGUCCAUUUUGGUCCAGAAAAAUCCUCAAAAAGUUUCGUCACGUUUGGCCUGUGUUUGGUAUAGUUUUUCUGAAGAAAAAAAAACAGGCAGAAAGAAUGACUCACACUUGGCACUUGGUUAAUAGGUUAGUUUCCAAAUAUGAUAUUAAAUUGUGUAUAAAGCAUAUAAUUUGGAUAACAUAGUAGCAUGAAAAAUUCAAAAACUAUAGAAACAUUGGAGAAUUAUCAACAUCCCCAAGUUUAAUUACUGCUCGUCCUCGAGUAGGUAAUUGAUAAACAAAGAUAACUUUUAUGUUGAAUUCUAUCGUGCAUAAUCUUAACCGAAUGAUGUAACAUGGUAUGAACUCAAGACUGAAGUGACUCAAAGCAAUAAUCUAUCAUUAAUAUUUAGCAAGUAAUAUCAAAAUGUGUAAACUAAUUACUAUUGUGUUUCAUGGAUUAAUGUUUUCAUGUGAUACCAAUCAACAAUCAUUAUUAUCAUAUUCAUGUCUGCAAUCACUGAAUCCUUUAUCAUAUUCAAACAUCUUAAUAUAACACAACUUAGAGCUUCACUCGGGUAACCAAGUCCAUGAAGAAUACUUUUCAACUACUUACCAUGUUGCUUAAUGCUCAAUUGAUAAAGUCUCACGCCAAUGAAGUUGAUUCUUAGGCAAUGGAGAGGACUUACAACCAAUAUUUACAUGAGGAGUAGGGAUUUCCAUUUCCAUGCAAUGAAUGCACUAGAGCAAUAAGUGUAUGAAAGCUCUCCUACUGCAACUAAGUGGGUGCGCAUUGAACUUUCUAGAUCACACCCUCGAGCAUUUGAGGGAGCUCAUCAUCAAAAUAUGCAAGUCAAGUUCGUAUAAUGUUAAAAACCUACUUGCAUAAGAAAAUGAGGAAUAAGAUAACUCUCUACAUAAAGUAUAAGGUGCACCUUUGAAGCAAAGUGUGUAUAGAUGAUAUUUGUGUGCCCCCUCUCUAUUUUCCCUCAUGUUUUGGGUGGGAUCUUUUUGGCCUCUUCGUCGGGCAAUUUUUGAUGGUGUCCAGUGGGCUCAUUCAUCAAGGCCUAGAAAGCAAUCAAGAUGGAAUCCUAUGAAGACUUGGCGCAUACUACAAGGCAUAAAUUCAAUCGUUAACAUGUUAAUCUUUAGGCAUAGCCGACCUAUCUAUAAUCCUAGGUAACCCCAACAUCGAUAUAAGCUUAAGGGAGUACUCAGUAGAGGUGUAUAGACACACACACGAUCUCGGGGUAGAUUAGAUUUGUACAAUGUAUCCCAUCCACAAUCAAUACAAUCCAAGGAGGACGCAUGGUUUUGCUUUGAGAGGGCCUGGACCUAGGUAAGUAUCGUGUGUAGAUCAGACUUGUAUGCUAUAUCCCAU